UUUUUGGAGAGUUUGAUCCUGGCUCAGGACGAACGCUGGCGGCGUGCCUAAUACAUGCAAGUCGAGCGGACAGAAGGGAGCUUGCUCCCGGAAGUCAGCGGCGGACGGGUGAGUAACACGUGGGCAACCUGCCCUGCAGAUUGGGAUAACUCCGGGAAACCGGGGCUAAUACCGAAUAACAUUGGAAACCUCAUGGCUUCCUUUUAAAAGGCGGCUUCGGCUGUCACUGCAGGAUGGGCCCGCGGCGCAU
rnacentral:ncRNA from 1 species